ACUGCACAAGCUAUUCUAAGUGAUCUGGCCUCAUCCUUCAUGCAAAGCUGGCUUUGGGGAGCUGUAUAAUGUGAAAAUUUUAAGUACCUAGGGGAGAAAGAGCCAUGUAAAUACGUGUAAUGAACUUGUAGCAUAUGUAAAGUUUUCUUGGCCUUUAUCUUACAAAAAUGGGAUAUUUUAGUGUGAAUUUGCUGAAUGUAAGACCGUGGACUGUUUUUUAUAGUAUGGCCUAGUUUUAAAGGUCCAUAAUAAUUUGUUUUUUAAGUGUGCCCUUGUGCUGAAGUGCCAGUGUAUGUAUAUUAUACUUGAUUUGGUUGUAAACUAUAUUUCAAAGCAAAUCCUAGUGUGAUAAGUUUUAUAACUAAAAAGGUUUAAGCUGCUAAAACUAUUUUUAAGAGAUGUGAAAUGCAGUAUGGGACUAUUUGUUUUUCCUCCUCUAAGCCCAAAGAUUAACUAAAGGGCCCCUCCAACCUUACAGAUGUUUGGCUUUCACAGUCUUCUAACCUAGGAUCCAGGUGGUUUAGAGUUUGGUGCCAGUGGGGUUUGGUUUUUCUUGGUCAAGGGUGGGUGGCAAACCAACACACUACUUAUGCAAAAGACAAACUCCUGCAUAAUACAUUGAUAACAUGUUUUGCCAACCUUAAGAGUAAUUGCUUAAAUAUAAGUGAAACCAAUAGCAAUUUAAAAGGCAUGUGGCUCAGUUAAAAAAUUUUGUUAAUGCCCUAUUUUCUAAUUGGCACCUCUUUUGAUGCCUAAGCAGGUAAGCAGAUGGCUAAGGUGUAUUUCUCCAAAUAAAUCAAGAUGAAGUACUGCCCAAGUUACAUAUUGAUAACCUAAAGACAAAUUUAUGUAUAUAUGAAUUUAAAGCAUAAAAUUAAAUUGUUUCCCCCUCAAAAAAA